UGGCAUUUGUCUUCCCAAGUAACCUUUACGUGUGAUGGGGCCCUGCUGUCCUGGAGAUGGCUGAACACCUGCCUGCCCAUGGGAAGUAGUGAAUUCAUCCCUUAUUUUGCUUUGCUUGUCAAGGCAGUGAGAAGUGGCCUGAAGAGUAGAACACUGAUAUUUUCUUAAAUCAAGGAUUGUCCCGGAAGUUUCAUGUGCUGAAGUGCUCAGAAAGCAAAGCUCAGAGCAAGUGUCUGCAGUGAAGCAUCUGCAAAGAGGAAACUUCUGAACGGUUGCAGACCUCAGGAAUUCUGCAGGUGUAUUGAACUGCAGUGCUGCACACUUUCAGAAGUACAUUCAGUUAUGCUACAAAAACUUUUCUCUGUGUCUGGAUCAAUAAGGCUCAACAGAGUUUUAGUUAUUAAAGAGUUUCUAAUGUAA